rnacentral:rRNA from 1 species
UACGUAGGGUGCGAGCGUUAAUCGGAAUUACUGGGCGUAAAGCGUGCGCAGGCGGCUUGCCAAGUCAGAUGUGAAAGCCCCGGGCUCAACCCGGGAACGGCGUUUGAAACUGGCAGGCUAGAGUUUGGCAGAGGGGGGUGGAAUUCCACGUGUAGCAGUGAGAUGCGUAGAGAUGUGGAGGAACACCGAUGGCGAAGGCAGCCCCCUGGGCCAAAACUGACGCUCAGGCACGAAAGCGUGGGGAGCAAACAGG